CUCUGUUGUGCACGCAAUACUACCCGUCCCACCGCCCCCGGAUGUCGGAGGUGAUAAGGAUGCUGAAACAGGAAGCCGCAGCUACAUGAGCCCGCGAACCGCCCCAUCACGAGGAACUUCGGCGCCCAGCUCCUCAAGAACGCCUAGGAGAAGGCCAAGAACCCGGCGGCGAGACCUGGGCUACAGAGGGCUCAUGUCAAGCCCGUCCCUCCUCCACCAGAGCACGUGAUCGAGAUCAGCUCCGAUACCGACGUGACCAAGUCGGAGGCCGACAGCGUCAGCUCUGUCCGCAAGUACUGAGGAAGAAGGUGGUCACCACCCUCAGGCACGUGCUCUCGGUACGCUCCAAGUUUCCACUUGGAAUCAAGGAAGAACCACUGAACCAGCAAUCCAGGAGUCCAGGACAUCGACAAGCUUGACGGCGGCAGCCAGCUCGUCGUCGUUGAUUACAUCGAAGAUAUCUACAAGUUUUACAAGGUUGCCGAGAAUGAUUGCUAAUGGGGUUAUAGUCCUAGGAUAGGG